rnacentral:piRNA from 1 species
UGUCCAACCACAGGUCUUCCUGAGUC